AGAAGCCCCUGGGAGCUAUUAAGCUCAGCCAUUGGCAGAGUCAUUUUGCACUGCAAACUUCAUUACAGUGAUUCCAGAGACAGUACUUUAAAAUGAACUUUGGAUAAUGUUGCAGUUGAGAGUUUUCUGCACUCAAGAAAUGCACCACAACAGCACAGACUGGGGUGAGACAAGAAGGAGCAGAGGGGCACCAGAAGCAGCCUAGGAAACUUAGAGCGUUGCAAGAAAGAGAGGACUCUAGACUGCGAAACAGCGUGUCCUCUUCGCUGUGCUUGUCAAAAGGAAAUUGUGUAACUCUGGAAUUUUAGAGGUGACUGAGUGACAAUUCUGAGAGGCCAAUGCCAUUGAGAGAAAAGCUUACCGCUACUCGUGGCUCCCCUGGAAGCAGAAGACACAGCACACUAUAGAGGGUCAUGUGGGAAAGCGCCGGAGCAGCUCCAGGCCGGGCUCCCCAGUCUGUCUGCACUCUAGAAGGAGUUUGCCUGGGUUGAUGUCGUCACAUGGGGCAUUCUGUCCUUGUUUAUAGAUUCACUCAGAAAAUUGUAUUAUGGAACACAGUUUCCUUCCCAAGUAUAGAGUUUGAGCAAAAGGGUAAGUAUUCUUUUUUAGAAAUUAAUUUUGUAAUUAAUUUUGUAAAUUAAUUUUAAUUUAUAUUUU
rnacentral:lncRNA from 1 species